rnacentral:rRNA from 1 species
GUAGGUGGCAAGCGUUGUCCGGAAUUAUUGGGCGUAAAGCGCGCGCAGGUGGUUCUUUAAGUCUGAUGUGAAAGCCCCCCGGGCUCAACCGGGGGAGGGUCAUUGGAAACUGGGGAACUUGAGUGCAGGAGAGGAAAGUGGAAUUCCACGUGUAGCGGUGAAAUGCGUAGAUAUGUGGAGGAACACCAGUGGCGAAGGCGACUUUCUGGCCUGUAACUGACACUGAGGCGCGAAAGCGUGGGGAGCAAACAGGAUUAGAUACCCUGGUAGUCCACGCCGUAAACGAUGAGUGCUAAGUGUUGGGGGGUUUCCGCCCCUCAGUGCUGCAGCUAACGCAUUAAGCACUCCGCCUGAGGAGUACGGCCGCAAAGACUG